GCCUGGGUGGCUCAGUUGGUUAAGUGUCCGACUUCAGCUCGGGUCAUGAUCUCACGGUCGUGGGUUUGAGCCCUGCACCAGGCU
rnacentral:tRNA from 1 species